AUUGAACGCUGGCGGCAUGCUUUACACAUGCAAGUCGAACGGUAACAGGUUAAGCUGACGAGUGGCGAACGGGUGAGUAAUGCAUCGGAACGUGCCCGAUCGUGGGGGAUAACGCAGCGAAAGCUGCGCUAAUACCGCAUACGAUCUGAGGAUGAAAGCGGGGGACCGUAAGGCCUCGCGCGAUCCGAGCGGCGGAUGUCAGAUUAGGUAGAUGGUGGGGUAAAGGCUCACCAAGCCGACGAUCUGUAGCUGGUCUGAGAGGACGACCAGACACACUGGGACUGAGACACGGCCCAGACUCCUACGGGAGGCAGCAGUGGGGAAUAUUGGACAAUGGGCGCAAGCCUGAUCCAGCCAUGCCGCGUGUGUGAAGAAGGCCUUCGGGUUGUAAAGCACUUUCAGUAGGGAGGAAGCGUUGUGUGUUAAUAGUACGCAGCGUUGACGUUACCUACAGAAGAAGCACCGGCUAACUCUGUGCCAGCCGCCGCCGUAA
rnacentral:rRNA from 1 species